GUGCCAGCAGCCGCGGUAAAACGUAGGUGGCAAGCGUUAUCCGGAUUUACUGGGCGUAAAGGGUGUGCAGGCGGGUGGUCAAGUGGUGUAUGAAAUAUCCCGGCUCAACCGGGAAGGGUUAUGCCAGACUGGCCAUCUUGAGUGCGAGAGAGGGGCGUGGAAUUCCGGGUGUAGUGGUGAAAUGCGUAGAGAUCCGGAGGAACCCCAGAGGCGAAGGCGGCGCCCUGGCUCGCAACUGACGCUCAUACACGACAGCAUGGGGAGCGAACGGGAUUAGAAACCCCGGUAGUCC
rnacentral:rRNA from 1 species